GACGGAGGAUGCAAGUGUUAUCCGGAAUCACUGGGCGUAAAGCGUCUGUAGGUGGUCAAAUAAGUCAACUGUUAAAUCUUGAGGCUCAACCUCAAAAUCGCAGUCGAAACUAUUAGACUAGAGUAUAGUAGGGGUAAAGGGAAUUUCCAGUGGAGCGGUGAAAUGCGUAGAGAUUGGAAAGAACACCGAUGGCGAAGGCACUCUACUGGGCCAUGACUGACACUGAGAGACGAAAGCUAGGGGAGCAAAUGGG
rnacentral:rRNA from 1 species